GACGAACGCUGGCGGCGUGCUUAACACAUGCAAGUCGUACGGUAAGGCCCUUUCGGGGGUACACGAGUGGCGAACGGGUGAGUAACACGUGAGUAACCUGCCCACAACUUUGGGAUAACGCUAGGAAACUGGUGCUAAUACUGGAUAUGUGCUCCUGCUGCAUGGUGGGGGUUGGAAAGCUCCGGCGGUUGUGGAUGGACUCGCGGCCUAUCAGCUUGUUGGUGGGGUAGUGGCCUACCAAGGCGGCGACGGGUAGCCGGCCUGAGAGGGUGACCGGCCACAUUGGGACUGAGAUACGGCCCAGACUCCUACGGGAGGCAGCAGUGGGGAAUAUUGCACAAUGGGCGCAAGCCUGAUGCAGCAACGCCGCGUGCGGGAGGACGGCCUUCGGGUUGUAUACCGCUUUCAGCAGGGACGAAGCUUUUUGUGACGGUACCUGCAGAAGAAGCACCGGCUAACUACGUG
rnacentral:rRNA from 1 species